AGCUAAAAUAAAUUUUAUUUUCUCCUCUUUUUUCCUGCAAAUGUUACCUUUAUUACAAAAUCCUAUCCUGCUGUUUCAGAACACACUCAUUUUUCCAUUCUUUCAUUCAUUCAACAAAUAUUUCUUGAAUACAUAUUAUUGCCAGGCAAGUGAAUAAGAUUAACAAAAGUCUCUGUCAUCAUGGAACAAUAAAGGGUGUAGGAAAUAAUAACAUAAUAAACCUAACUGUAAAAUAUAUUUUUAGAUAUUGAUUAUCAUGCUAAGGGAAAUUAGAGUAAUCAGAAUGGUUUAAUAGACUUUAACAAUACCUGUCAAUUCCAAUCCAUGGCACUUUAAAAUAUUGUUAGCUGGAUUGUUAGCUGGAUUCAUGUGUAUAUAGCUUGCCUUCAUAAUGAAAACAUAAUAUCAAAGAAACUGAUUAAAUUCAUAUCUGAAAUAUAAUAAGCAGAGCAUUAAGAAAGAAGAAAGCUAUUCCAACUUUGUCCCUUUUCCCCAUAAGAUGACUUGCAAUUGCCAGGAGAAAGCAUAACAUUUUCUUUUACAUGAAUUCUGCCUCAUCUAAGUUUUGUCAUCACUGGAAAUGUUUUUUAAAGAGAACGUCAAAUCCAGAAGGAGUUUAGUGAGCUGUUCUGGGGGUUCAGGACCACCCCGUCCUGUGUAUGGGAAGUACUCUUGAAAUUAUUAGGAAAAUUGGAUAUGGACAAGACUUGUGAUAUUGAUACAAGGAUAUGUCAGCAAUUUACAGUCCAGGAGAGAGCUCACCAGAACCUGACCAUGCUGUCGUCCUGAUCUCGGCAUCCAGGCUCCAGAAAUGUGAGAAUAAAUUUCUAUUGUUUAUAAACUACACAGUUUAUGGUACUUUAUUAUAUAGCAGCCAAAACUAAGACACUGAGCAUGUGAAUUUGGGACAUUCUAGAGCUACCUUAAGGCUCCAUGAGGAAAACAAACCCAGACAUAGAGAGUACAGAUUCCUGAUGUUGUUUGAAAUCUUGGGCCACUCAGUGAUGAGAACCAAAUUUCACCUGAAUUUGUCAAUUAUGUAAUUAUGUAAUUAUAUUGACUAUGCAGGUUUUAUUUUAGUCCAUUAGCUUGCAACUGAAUGAGUCCUUAUUAAUCCUGUCUUAAAUAAGACUCAUUAGUUUAGGAACAAAGUAUU